GAGACGCACCUCUAGCGCGCACGCUGGGACCCGAAAGAUGGUGAACUAUGCCUGGUCAGGACGAAGUCAGGGGAAACCCUGAUGGAGGUCCGCAGCGAUUCUGACGUGCAAAUCGAUCGUCAGAACUGGGUAUAGGGGCGAAAGACCAAUCGAACCGUCUAGUAGCUGGUUCCCUCCGAAGUUUCCCUCAGGAUAGCUGGCGCUCGUUAUUUAACAAAUAAAGAGUCUCAUGCGGUAAAGCGAAUGAUUAGAGCGAAUCGGGGUCGAAACGACCUCUACCUAUUCUCAAACUUUAAAUGUGUGAGAUCUCCGGCUUGCCCGAUUGACGAAGCCGCGAGAUCGGAUCUAGAGUGCCAAGUGGGCCAAUUUUGGUAAGCAGAACUGGCGCUGUGGGAUGAACCAAACGUAAAGUUAAAGCGCCGAAAUCGACGCUCAUGAGAAACCAUGAAAGGCGUUGGUAACUCAGGACAGCAGGACGGU
rnacentral:rRNA from 1 species